rnacentral:rRNA from 1 species
GACGAACGCUGGCGGCGUGCCUAAUACAUGCAAGUAGAACGCUGAAGGAGGAUCUUGCUUCUCUGGAUGAGUUGCGAACGGGUGAGUAACGCGUAGGUAACCUGCCUGGUAGCGGGGGAUAACUAUUGGAAACGAUAGCUAAUACCGCAUAAGAGUAGAUGUUGCAUGACAUUUGCUUAAAAGGUGCAAUUGCAUCACUACCAGAUGGACCUGCGUUGUAUUAGCUAGUUGGUGAGGUAACGGCUCACCAAGGCGACGAUACAUAGCCGACCUGAGAGGGUGAUCGGCCACACUGGGACUGAGACACGGCCCAGACUCCUACGGGAGGCAGCAGUAGGGAAUCUUCGGCAAUGGACGGAAGUCUGACCGAGCAACGCCGCGUGAGUGAAGAAGGUUUUCGGAUCGUAAAGCUCUGUUGUAAGAGAAGAACGAGUGUGAGAGUGGAAAGUUCACACUGUGACGGUAUCUUACCAGAAAGGGGCGGCUAACUACGUG